UGUAGCAAUACAAGGCAGACGGCUCAGUAACGCGUAGUCAACCUACCCUAUGGACGGGGAUAACCUCGGGAAACUGAGAAUAAUACCCGAUAGAACAUUAUGCCUGGAAUGGUUUAUGUUUCAAAUAAUUUAUUGCCGUAGGAUGGGACUGCGGCCUAUCAGUUUGUUGGUGAGGUAAUGGCCCACCAAGACUAUUACAGGUACGGGCUCUGAGAGGAGUAGCCCGGAGAUGGGUACUGAGACACGGGCCCAGGCCCUAUGGGGCGCAGCAGGCGAGAAAACUUUGCAAUGUGCGAAAGCACGACAAGGUUAAUCCGAGUGGUUUCUGCUAAAGGAACCUUUUGUCGGUCCUAGAAACACUGAUGAAUAAGGGGUGGGCAAGUUCUGGUGUCAGCCGCCGCGGUAAAACCAGCACCUCAAGUGGUCAGGAUGAUUAUUGGGCCUAAAGCAUCCGUAGCCUGCUUUGUUAGUUUUCGGUUAAAUCCAUACGCUCAACGUAUGGGCUGCCGGGAAUACUACAAAGCUAGGGGAGUGGGAGAGGUAGACGGUACUCGGUAGGAAGGGGUAAAAUCCUUUGAUCUAUUGAUGACCACCUGUGGCGAAGGCGGUCUACCAGAACACGUCCGACGGUGAGGGAUGAAAGCUGGGGGAGCAAACCGGAUUAGAUACCCGGGUAGUCCCAGCUGUAAACUAUGCAAACUCAGUGAUGCAUUGGCUUGAUGCCAAUGCAGUGCUGCAGGGAAGCCGUUAAGUUUGCCGCCUGGGAAGUACGUACGCAAGUAUGAAACUUAAAGGAAUUGGCGGGGGAGCACCACAAGGGGUG
rnacentral:rRNA from 1 species